rnacentral:rRNA from 1 species
UACGUAGGUGGCAAGCGUUUGUCCGGAAUUAUUGGGCGUAAAGCGCGCGCAGGCGGUCCUUUAAGUCUGAUGUGAAAGCCCACGGCUCAACCGUGGAGGGUCAUUGGAAACUGGGGAACUUGAGUGCAGAAGAGGAAAGUGGAAUUCCAAGUGUAGCGGUGAAAUGCGUAGAGAUUUGGAGGAACACCAGUGGCGAAGGCGACUUUCUGGUCUGUAACUGACACUGAGGCGCGAAAGCGUGGGGAGCGAACAGG